rnacentral:rRNA from 1 species
CCUACGGGGGGCUGCAGUGGGGAAUAUUGCACAAUGGGCGCAAGCCUGAUGCAGCCAUGCCGCGUGUGUGAAGAAGGCCUUCGGGUUGUAAAGCACUUUCAGCGGGGAGGAAGGCGGUGAGGUUAAUAACCUCAUCGAUUGACGUUACCCGCAGAAGAAGCACCGGCUAACUCCGUGCCAGCAGCCGCGGUAAUACGGAGGGUGCAAGCGUUAAUCGGAAUUACUGGGCGUAAAGCGCACGCAGGCGGUCUGUCAAGUCGGAUGUGAAAUCCCCGGGCUCAACCUGGGAACUGCAUUCGAAACUGGCAGGCUAGAGUCUUGUAGAGGGGGGUAGAAUUCCAGGUGUAGCGGUGAAAUGCGUAGAGAUCUGGAGGAAUACCGGUGGCGAAGGCGGGCCCCUGGACAAAGACUGACGCUCAGGUGCGAAAGCGUGGGGAGCAAACAGGAUUAGAUACCCGAGUAGUC